GAUGAAGAACGUAGCGAAAUGCGAUACGUAAUGUGAAUUGCAGAAUUCAGUGAAUCAUCGAGUCUUUGAACGCACAUUGCGCCCUCUGGUAUUCCGGAGGGCAUGCCUGUCCGAGCGUCAUUGCUGCCCUCAAGCACGGCUUGUGUGUUGGGCCCCGCCCCCCGAUCCCGGGGGGCGGGCCCGAAAGGCAGCGGCGGCACCGCGUCCGGUCCUCGAGCGUAUGGGGCUUUGUCACCCGCCCUGUAGGCCCGGCCGGCGCUUGCCGAUCAACCAAACUUUUUUCCAGGUUGACCUCGGAUCAGGUAGGGAUACCCGCUGAACUUAAGCAUAUCAAUAAGCGGAGGA
rnacentral:misc_RNA from 1 species